ensembl:lncRNA
CACAGUAUAUACAGUAUUAAAUUAAACUUUUUUUAUUUUAAAAGAUCAAACUGGAUUUUUGGCAUGUGUCAAAUUUCUGAACAUCAGUUGUGUGUAUAAGCUGACAGUCUGUCAGAGUCCUCAACUCUGUCAGCAUCUAAUCUGAUGCCAUUUUGAUUUAAAACCACAUCUUUUGAAUAUCCCCUCUCUGUUUCCACUCAUUUACUUUUCCGUUUCUAGAAACACUCCAGUAAAUGUUUGGAUGUUAAUCUUAUACACAUGCACACACACGGCAGUGAUUCGUUUUCUUUUUUGUUUUUUGGGGGGUUUUUUGCAUCAAGAGCACAAACACUAACGCUUAACCCGUGGGGAUAUUCUUAGCAGCUUUUGUACACCUUUUCGUCACAAGUAGUGCAAUUAUACGCUGUAGCUCAAGAGGGUUGUGCAUUUUAUUAUGUCCAUUUACUCUGAUUUUAAGGUGCAUAACAAAGUUUGUUUUUAUUCUCUUUCUUAAUUAAGUCUUGCAGCAGGUGCCUCUUUCUAAGCCGUAACAAGUCCUUAGUUGCCAUCCGUCCACUCACUGUGUUCUUUUGCAGUCAGCUGUGGCUGGAAAUGUAAUCGUACUGAAACUAAAUCUAAUGUUGUCAGAUCAACAUCACGUACAAGUCCCAUCGAGUUUGAUGACUUACAGUGUAAGUGCAAGUGAAACUAACAUAGUGUUGGUUGUGUUUUAUUGUUAGGGUUGAAGUCAUCGUAAGCUGAAGUCACAUGAACAUUUCAGGGAAAGAAAAAGAGCAAAUGAACCAUAAUCAUGCUUUUGUUUUUUGUUUUUUUCCACACACUGUGCUUUGCUUCAUUCUGUCUGUGCGGCUCCUGGAUCUACAUUGUAUCCUGUUCAGAUUCUACCAAGCUAGCACAGCUGAAACCAAUGAACUGAGUGAGCAGUCAGAGACGAAAAGAAAAACCUGCGACUACAUUUCCUCUGGAUGGUCCUUAAGCUUCAUAUAAGAGUGAAAGCAGCAGUUCCUCCUUAAGGUCAGAGAUUGCAGCAUCUGAGGGCCUCUUCAAAAGAAGACGUAGUUGAUGAAGGCGUUCUGGAGCAGGACCAGAAAGACCAUGACCAAGCAGCCUUGAGAUCUUAGGCAGCGUCUCCCUCGGGUCCCUCUCUAUCUCCCCACACAUCCACCAACCACUGGAACACAUCUCCAAAGUUCUGCCGGGCCAGCUCAGCUUCCCCUCAGAAGAAGUGCCGCCACCUGCCAGAUGAAGGAGCCUUUUGAGAGGCAGCUGGCAUCGUGAUUGGACUGUACUUUGGUCUGUUCCAAUCCAGCUUCAGCUCCAGAGACGGCAGGCGGGACGAGUCAACGGGGCCUGGUGGACGAAGGCAUGCAGCUGAGUACAAUCCAGAAACCAACAGAGGAGGAUUGCAGUGGCUCAGGACCAGAACAAACAGAGUAGCAUCAUAUGUCUCUUAGAAAACAUCAUAGUAUAGCCUUUGGUAUGAAAAAACGCCAUCAUAUACAUCGUAUAUUGUACAAAUAACAAGUCAAAGGAAAGAGACAUACAUUGUAGAAUUGUAGUAAUUGUGGGCUGACUGAUUUACUG